UUUACCUGCCACGUGUAAGUCACGUGACUUAGAAAAGGAGCGGACGAUUUGCAAUCCCGUCGUUGCAAUCUGUAAUGGGCAGUUCAAGUUCUUGUCAAUCUCGGCCGGUUUACGUCGUAACAAUCGGUAGUCCAAAAGUAGUAUAGACCCAAAACGCACGGACAGAUACGUCUAUAUGCUCAGAGGUAGUUUAACAGCUCGAAAUUCUGUUGAUUCGGACGACGAUAUUCACGUCAAGAAGAACAAGGAAGAAGAACCAGUUGCAACAUAGGAAUCGGCGUCGAUGACAGAGGACAAUUUCCCUAGGGUUUCCUCUUCUGAAUCUAUCGAUUCUUCAUCGACGAAGCAGAGAAAAAAGAGGAAGUGGGAUCAGCCUGCCGAGUCAUUGGGUUCAUCUGGAGUAGCAGCUCCUGGUCUUCUUCUAUUACCAAACUUGGGAUCCCUUCCUGGAGUUGCAUUACCUGGUGUAGCUAUAAUUCCUAGUGCUUCUUUCUCAAAUUCUCUUACUGCUAGUGCCGCAACUAUUCUGCCUGUUAUCCAGUUGCCUUUACAGCAACAUGCGACUGCCAUUGCCCAAAAAAUAAAUCAGCCUAAGAUCCAAGAUGAACUGAUAGCACGAGAAAUUGUUAUCAAUGAUGCUGAUUCUACUGUGCGCUAUAAGCUCACAAAACGCCAGACCCAGGAAGAGAUUCAGAAGUAUACGGGUGCCAUAGUAAUUACUAGAGGCAAAUACAGACCCCCAAAUGCACCUGCUGAUGGUGAAAAACCGUUGUAUCUUCACAUAUCUGCUGCGGCUCAUUUGGAAACAACAGCAGAACGGAUCAAGGCAGUUGAUCAUGCAGCUGCAAUGGUGGAAGAAAUGCUCAAGCAUGGGUCUUUCAGCAAUACCAUGAAUUUGUCUUUUUUUGAUCAGGUCAAUCCCUCACUGAGUGCUUGUGUGUUUUUGGGCUUUGAAGCAGAUCCCUCUCUGAAUGUUGCUGCUCGAAUUCGUGGACCAAAUGACCAGUAUGUAAAUCACAUCAUGAAUGAAACGGGAGCAACAGUUUUGCUAAGAGGACGCGGUUCAGGAUAUUGUGAUAGUGUACAGGAUGAUGCUUUUACUCUCUUUGUAGAAGGUCAACAACCAUUGCAUUUACUUUUGUCGAGCAGUAAUGCAAAAAGUCUUGAACGUGCUAAGCUCCUUGCUGAGAACCUUUUGGACACAAUCAGUGCAGAGUUUGGUGCAUCAAGGGUUUCCUCAUCUAAAGUUUAUGGUGCUGUUCCUCCGCCACCACAGUUACUUGCUGGAGUUCAGAGUUCCUUGGAUGAGUCAAACCCAAGUGUCCCACCGUCUGCCAGCUUGACUGCAUCAGCUGCACGGUCUAUUCCAUCAACAGUUUCAUCAAUCUCAAUUCCUGGUGCAUCUAGUAUUGCUUCUCAAGGGCCUGUACCACAUGCUGGAUGCUCAAAUCCUGCAUCUGGGCUGUCUCAUGCGAUUACUGGUGGUUAUUCCCUGUCUUCAUUGACUGGUGGGACGAGCUAUAAUGGUUAUGAUGGAAUAUAUCCCCAAGCAACACCUUUGCAACAAGUUGCCUUGGCCCUUAGGCAGUCAACUUCACCAGUUACUACUUUAGUAGCUCCUGCUGUUACAACUGCGAGCACAGCAUCGUACACAAGUACGUGCUCCUCAUCAGAGAAGGAUAAGCGUUCUUCACAGAAAAGAAAGUUUCAGGAAUUACCAGCAGUAGUUAAAAGCCUAGCAAAUACAAACCAGGUAUUUUCUCUGAUCUUUUAUGAAGCUAACAGGCUGAUACUGGACUUCUCUCGUGGACACUAAUGUGUUUCACAGGGUUCCUUGUUCUGGAGGUGGCAUGGGUUGCUCUAUGCUGUACCAUUUUCGUCUGGACUGAAUUAAGAUUGUGAUUCCCUCUGGCGCAGAAUUACAUAUAUGCUCCUGUAUUUCUUUGUGGAUCAUGCAUUGUUUGAAUUUGUUUAUUUUUAAUUUUUAAGGAGUGAUCAUAAGUGUUGGAUUUGGUAGUUUAGCUGCUUCAUUUCAUUCAUCUCCUAAAUGCUUGAGGUGGCUUUGGAUUCAUUUUAGUUGCCAAUCUAUUGGAGUCACUCAUUUUAAGUCCGGCUUUAAUCUUUAUUGUGCAACUACCCUAAAAACUACAUGAUUAAUUCACAGUUUACACAAAGGGAUGGCAUAAUCCUACAUGUGGGCUGCCAUUGAGCCCUUAUAUCACUUUAAAUAGUUUCUGUGGCUGCUUCUGCUUGUGGGUAUAUGUUUUCUCUAUAUUCCAGAUGCAGGAAUAUAUAAUCAAGACCUUAAGGCGUCAAAAUGUUUUGCUGUAUUUUGUUUCUUAUUGCCACAUUUUCUGCUGAUAUUGAGGAUUUGUUUGGAACCUUUCUUGAAACUGUUACAGGGAUCAGAACUUGCAGAGCCAUGUGAACAAACAUCAGAUAUACAUGGAAAAGAUAUUAAAAGGUUGGUGCAGACAUCAGCAAAUGGAAUAAUUCCAAUCCCUCCAAGAACAAUGCCCCCGCCAACAAUGCUGCCACCCCCACCAAAAUUUACUACAUCAAGACCUGGAAUUUAUGGUGGCAACAGCAUCAACAAUGGCUUGAAAUCUGAAAGUGUACCUGAUACAUUAAUCAAGUUAAUGGAAUAUGGGGAUGAGGAUGAGGAUGAUGAUCUUGAUGAACCAAAUGAAGACUCCAUCAAAAGAUGCUCCAGUACUUUGGUGGCUCCAAAACCAUUCUGGGCUGUCUGAGUCGCAUGUAGCAUCGUUGUCUGGCCUCCCGUGGAGAUUUUGGCCGCAUAUUCUUCUUGAUGCUGUAGGCUCUUAUGCGGAAUUUCAGUUUUAGAAUGUGGUAAAAUUUUGGUAUACUGCAUGUUCUGUGCAAUUUUGUAGCUCUAUUUCAAUUUUUUUGUGGAAUUCUUGAAGAUCUGUUGGUGCUAAUGCGUCACUUUCUUACAUAGAAUGGAUACGGUGUAAUAGAGAUUAUCCAGUUUUAUUUCCGGGAAGGUUCUUGUAGUAGAUUUGUCGAUCAUGUCAUUGAGGCAGCAAAA